AGAAAACAGGAAUUAGCAUGUGUAGUGUAAGAGCCUGAUGUUAAGCUUUUGAUUGCUGUGGCAACCAUUUCAAAGACUUCCAUCUUGAAUGAACUAUUGGCAGCUGCGUGGCAUGGCCACUGGCAAAACAACCAGAUAAGGAACAGACCACCUCAGGCGUUCAGUUCCCCUUUUACAAAACCCUCAUUAACCUACAUAACUGACCACCUGAGUGAUUCUGCGUAUUCCUUUUCAUGCCCUAAUUCCAGUUUUUAUGUUUCUAAUUUCCCCAAACAGAGUGAACCUGCAAAACCCUCCAACCCCAGGAGAGGCAGAGACCCCAGUCAGCACUCCCUCCAUCUCUCUCUGUGACUGCACUGUGUGGUCCACAGGUGUGUUGUGUACUUCCAGGACCUAGGAGUAAUAAAUCUUGUUCUUCAAAGUUCCCUGAUGGUUUUUUCCUUAGGUGCAUUUUGCAGUCAUGAUAACCUCAGGGACCCGUCUAGCCACACUGGCUUCAGUUGGGGAAAUGUCUGUGGGAGCUCGCCUGCAACACUAUGGUCCAGGUCAAAAAAUAUAAUCUAAAAACAAGAUGGAUUGUAGCAAAGGACGAUCACAAUUAACUAAAAUCAUGACCAUUUCCAGUACUCAUAAUGUCAUUCUUGAAGGCACUGAGGCUUCGUCUUACAUUUUGCCAGAGGAUCCUAAGCCUGGUGCUGUGUAUAAAAUAGGGCGCAGUGAAAUGCCUACACUUUGAAAGGAUACAUUUAGAGAUGAUAGCACAGUAAGAAAUGGAGAUACUGUGCCAGUCCAACAGGUGGAAGAAGCCAGGGGAGAAACAUGCUGGGAACCGCUGUGGCGACCACCGGGCUGCCUCUAGGACCUGAAAGUGGCUCCUGGCCAGUAACUAACAGGAACAUGAGGACCUCAGUCCUACAACCAUAAGGAAACGGCUUUUGCCAACAACCAGCAAGGACUCCAAGUUCCAGAUGAGAACUGCAGACAGGGCUGGCACCUUGUUUCAGCCUGGUGAGACUCUGAGCGGAGAAUGUAGUCACUCCAUGCCAAGACGUUGACCUACAGAAACUGAGAUAAACUUGAGAUUUUAGAAGCCACUAAGCUUCUGAUACUUUGUAAUGCAGCCAUCAAAAACGAAAACAGGCCAUGUUGUACCUUUGCUUUGUCUUGGAGAAAUGAGCUAACUCAUACAAGGGUUUUUCUCAGAUACAUAAAAUGUAUUCCUUGAAGUGCAAACACUUGAUGGAUAUAUAUUAUCCAUUUAUCUGCCUUAUUAAAUAGUACUUAGUACACUGCCUAAUAUUUAA